AGAGUUUGAUCAGUGGCUCAGAAUGAACGCGUGGCGGCGUGCCUAACACAUGCAAGUCGAGCGAGAAAGUCUCUUCGGAGAUAAGUACAGCGGCGGACGGGUGAGUAACGCGUGAGAAUUUACCCUUUAGUGAAGAAUACCUCUGAGAAAUCAGGGUUAAUACUGCAUACGUCCCUACGGGGGAGAAAGGUGGCCUCUUUGCUGCCGCUAAAGGAUAAGCUUGCGUACUAUUAGCUAGUUGGUGAGGUAAAGGCUCACCAAGGCGAUGAUGGUUAGCCGGCCUGAGAGGGUGUACGGCCACACUGGAACUUAGACACGGUCCAGACUCCUACGGGAGGCAGCAGUGAGGAAUAUUGCGCAAUGGGCGAAAGCCUGACGCAGCGACGCCGCGUGGAGGAUGAAGGUCUUCGGAUUGUAAACUCCUGUUAAGUGGGAAGAAAGACCUAUUUCUAAUACAGAUAGGGGAUGACGGUACCAUUAGAGAAAGCACCGGCUAACUUCGUG
rnacentral:rRNA from 1 species